rnacentral:rRNA from 1 species
GACGUAGGGGGCCAGCGUUGCUCGGAAUUACUGGGUGUAAAGGGUUCGUAGGCGGUGUGGCAAGUCGGGAGUGAAAUCUCUGGGCUCAACCCAGGGGCUGCUUCCGAAACUGCCGUGCUAGAGUGUGGGAGAGGCGCGUGGAAUUGCAGGUGUAGCGGUGAAAUGCGUAGAUCUCGAGAGGAACACCGAUGGCGAAGGCAGCUUCUUGGUCCACUACUGACGUUGAGGCACGAAAGCGUGGGGAGCAAACAGG